GUGCUUGCUUUGGCAGCACAUAUACUAAAAAAUUGGAAUGAUACAGAGAAGAUUAACAUGGCCCCUACGCAAGGAUGACAUGCAAAUUCAUGAAGCAUUCCAUAUAAGA